rnacentral:rRNA from 1 species
GACGAACGCUGGCGGCGUGCUUAACACAUGCAGGUCGAACGGAAAGGCUCCAGCUUGCUGGAGUACUCGAGUGGCGAACGGGUGAGUAACACGUGGGUAAUCUGCCCUGCACUCUGGGAUAAGCCUGGGAAACUGGGUCUAAUACUGGAUAUGACCUUUCUCCUUAUGGGGGUGGGUGGAAAGUUUUUCGGUGUAGGAUGAGCCCGCCGCCUAUCAGCUUGUUGGUGGGGUGAUGGCCUACCAAGGCGACGACGGGUAGCCGGCCUGAGAGGGUGAUCGGCCACAUUGGGACUGAGAUACGGCCCAGACUCCUACGGGAGGCAGCAGUGGGGAAUAUUGCACAAUGGGCGGAAGCCUGAUGCAGCGACGCCGCGUGAGGGAUGACGGCCUUCGGGUUGUAAACCUCUUUCAGCAGGGACGAAGCGUAAGUGACGGUACCUGCAGAAGAAGCACCGGCUAACUACGUG